GAUAAACGCUGGCGGCGCACAUAAGACAUGCAAGUCGAACGGAAGUCGUUAUAAAAAGGAUUGAAGAUUUAUCUGAUUGAGAUUUUAUAACAAUGGCUUUAGUGGCGGACUGGUGAGUAACGCGUGAGCAACCUGCCUACUAGAGGGGAAUAACAGUGAGAAAUCAUUGCUAAUACCGCAUAUGCCAUGAACAUCACAUGAUGAAAAUGGGAAAAGAGUAAUCUGCUAGUAGAUGGGCUCGCGUCUGAUUAGAUAGUUGGUGGGGUAACGGCCUACCAAGUCGACGAUCAGUAGCCGGACUGAGAGGUUGAACGGCCACAUUGGGACUGAGAUACGGCCCAGACUCCUACGGGAGGCAGCAGUCGGGAAUAUUGCGCAAUGGAGGAAACUCUGACGCAGUGACGCCGCGUAUAGGAAGAAGGUUUUCGGAUUGUAAACUAUUGUCGUUAGGGAAGAUAUAAGACAGUACCUAAGGAGGAAGCUCCGGCUAACUACGUGCCAGCAGCCGCGGUAAUACGUAGGGAGCAAGCGUUAUCCGGAUUUAUUGGGUGUAAAGGGUGCGUAGACGGGACAACAAGUUAGUUGUGAAAUCCCUCGGCUUAACUGAGGAACUGCAACUAAAACUAUUGUUCUUGAGUGUUGGAGAGGAAAGUGGAAUUCCUAGUGUAGCGGUGAAAUGCGUAGAUAUUAGGAGGAACACCGGUGGCGAAGGCGACUUUCUGGACAAUAACUGACGUUGAGGCACGAAAGUGUGGGGAGCANACAGG
rnacentral:rRNA from 1 species